UCGGGAAUUUUGGGCAAUGGGCGAAAGCCUGACCCAGCAACGCCGCGUGAGGGAUGAAGGCCCUCGGGUCGUAAACCUCUGUCGGGAGGGAAGAAUGGUUAACGUUCAAAUAGGACGGGAGCCUGACGGUACCUCCAAAGGAAGCACCGGCUAACUCCGUGCCAGCAGCCGCGGUAAUACGGAGGGUGCAAGCGUUGUUCGGAAUCAUUGGGCGUAAAGCGCGUGUAGGCGGCUUGGCAAGUCAGUUGUGAAAGCCCGGGGCCCAACCCCGGAACUGCAUCUGAAACUGCCUGGCUAGAGUCCCGGAGAGGAAGGCAGAAUUCCCGGUGUAGGGGUGAAAUCCGUAGAUAUCGGGAGGAAUACCAGCGGCGAAGGCGGCCUUCUGGACGGUGACUGACGCUGAGACGCGAAAGCGUGGGGAGCAAA
rnacentral:rRNA from 1 species